CCCACCCCCGCUCCAGGCCUGUCCGGAGGCGCGCCUGGCCGAGAGCCAGCGGCAGGUCCCCGGGCUGCGCCUUAUCUCUCUCCUUUGAACCCAGCACCUUCGGCGCUCAGUCUGGCUCCUGGUUCCGUUCCGCUCGCCGCACGUCCGCGCGAUCCCCUCCUGCCGGGUCCCCUCUUCUGGCCCCGCCCAGACCCGCGCAUCUGCACCCACACCGCGUGUGCCCUGAUCGCGGGAGCACACGGGCCGGCCGGGCAUCGAUUGCUGGGGAGGCCCGGACUGUCUCCGGCCUCAGAAGCCACCUCGGGUUCCCCCACUUGUCCCAGAUUGAAGACCGAGCCGCCCCAGUUCGGAGGCGAGGGGCGGAAGCGCGCGCAGAAGCCCACUAACUGCCCAGUUGGGAGGUUGGGCGUAGCGGAGGGCAGGCGGGCGGGUGGGGUGCGGGGGGUCAGGAGGCAGAGCAGGGGAGACAGGCCCGCGUGGGUGGUGGGGCAGCCCCCAGCCCUCUCUUGCCGGAUGGAAGCGAAAGUGACCCGGGGUCAGCAGUGCGCGGGAGCAGGGAGCCCCGGCAAGCCUUGAACGGAAGCCGAUCCUGGAUGGGGCGCAGGGAGUAUUCAGGACAGGCUUCCUGGAGGGGGUGACAUCUGAACCCUGAGAGGUGAAUGGAUGGUGGCAUUAAGUGGAGUUAGAGUCCAGAGGGCAGACCCAGGUGGAAGAUGCUGUACUAUCUGAAGAUGAAGAAAGGGGCCAUGAGCCAAGGAACGCAGAUGCUUCUAGAAGCCGGAAACACCUUCUCCCCAGGAGCUUCCAGAAGGAAAAUGUGGCCCUGUGGACACCUGGAUUUCAGCCCAGUGAGACCCGUUUUGGACUUCUGACCUCCAGAACUGUCAGAUAACUGUGUUCUUUUAAGCCA